rnacentral:SRP_RNA from 1 species
AGGACGGAUUCGACAGCUCCUGCGGCGCGAACUGCGACAGGCUGGGAAGGGACGCAGCCGAA